rnacentral:rRNA from 1 species
AGAGUUUGAUCCUGGCUCAGAGCGAACUCUGGCGGCAGGCUUAACACAUGCAAGUCGAGCGGGCGUAGCAAUACGUCAGCGGCAGACGGGUGAGUAACGCGUGGGAACGUACCUUUUGGUUCGGAACAACACAGGGAAACUUGUGCUAAUACCGGAUAAGCCCUUACGGGGAAAGAUUUAUCGCCGAAAGAUCGGCCCGCGUCUGAUUAGCUAGUUGGUGAGGUAACGGCUCACCAAGGCGACGAUCAGUAGCUGGUCUGAGAGGAUGAUCAGCCACAUUGGGACUGAGACACGGCCCAAACUCCUACGGGAGGCAGCAGUGGGGAAUAUUGGACAAUGGGGGCAACCCUGAUCCAGCCAUGCCGCGUGAGUGAUGAAGGCCCUAGGGUUGUAAAGCUCUUUUGUGCGGGAAGAUAAUGACGGUACCGCAAGAAUAAGCCCCGGCUAACUUCGUGCCAGCAGCCGCGGUAAUACGAAGGGGGCUAGCGUUGCUCGGAAUCACUGGGCGUAAAGGGUGCGUAGGCGGAUCUUUAAGUCAGAGGUGAAAGCCUGGAGCUCAACUCCAGAACUGCCUUUGAUACUGGGGAUCUUGAGUUCGGGAGAGGUGAGUGGAACUGCGAGUGUAGAGGUGAAAUUCGUAGAUAUUCGCAAGAACACCAGUGGCGAAGGCGGCGCACUGGCCCGAUACUGACGCUGAGGCACGAAAGCGUGGGGAGCAAACAGGAUUAGAUACCCUGGUAGUCCACGCCGUAAACGAUG